rnacentral:lncRNA from 1 species
GCUCCUAGGGUGUGGUAGAAGUGUAGAACCCUGUGUUUGUGUAAUUAAUUAGUUGCCACAUAUGUCCAAAUAGUAUGAGUAUAAAUAUACAUGAUAAUCCUACCGACACUUGUGUAGGCAGCCGCCGGUGUCAUAGGUGGGCCUUGUGGUGCAUACUGUGGUGGCAUCGUCCCCCACUAUGGUGCCAAAGGUGGCAGAGCACGGUUUGGGACAAAGUUCCACGAGGAGUGGUCCCAUGGUCCCGCUUGGGCAUACGAGGUAGGUGGUCCAUAGCCUAAGGGCGUGUUUGCGACCUUGGCCCGGUGGCCUGGCUGCGCUCCUGGGAUGCAACGUCCGUGUUUGCGUUGCCUGGCUUGCUCGGGAGCUCGGUCCUGCGCGUGCAAAAGCGGCUCUUCAGUCUGGCUCCCAGGAAACGAAGGCAGGGUCCGUUUUUUUUUGAGCUCGGCUGCUCGUGGCGCAAGUCAGCUGCUCGUGGCUGCUCCCAGGAAACAAAAGUGGCUUUUAGUCCGGCUGCCUGCGUGUGGCAAACACCGGCUCACUUGAACCAGGCUUAUUUGGUACAAGUGCACAAACAAGAUCAGCUGCAGCAGCUGGGGCUGGCUAGCUUCAGCCUGGGCGACACGAGCGGGCCGAGCCGGCCAGAUACGCGUCGCAAACACGCCCUAAGUGUAUUCAAAGUUACAGAUUCAUGCAUUUGUACGGUAUUAAACAAGGUCGUGCGGCAAGUAGGCGACGUCCUAUAGCGUAGGUGCCAUCUCCCCACAAGGGAGGUGGAACGUGUGGGUCUCGGGCCUCCACCUAUCAACGAGGGCCGUCAAGAGAGAACUGUCCAGCUGCACAAGCCCACCGUCUACCAGACGAACUAAAGUGAGGAGACCGGCAUCCUGCAACCUAAAGAUACAUGCGAGAUCAGUACACGAUAACAUUUAAAGUGAAUAUUUGAUCAAUUCAUUACAAACCUCGGAAACCAACAGUGGUGUAGCUCGAUACGCUCCUCGGGUGGACGUGGACGUAGUACAUGCAGGUUAGCGUGCUCGACCGCUGCCAGAAAAGACCGGUGACCCGAGUCGAUUACUUGGUCCAAGAGCUCAGGCGUUGCAGGAUAGUUACCUGCCAUACUUACAAUUAAAUAGUUCAUAAAAGCAGUUACGAACAUAAUAUGUGAAUAAACAUCGAAUAAAGGCCUAAACAUAAUGAUAAUUAUUACAAAUACCCUUGCAUAAUUAAUAUAAUACAAUUGUACUUACCUAAUCGUUUCUAGGUUGUAAUGACACAGAUCGUCUAGGGCGUGGACGACUUGCCGAGGCAGAUUCAAAGGGGGGUGCGUGGUGCUCCAUCUGUGGGAUUCCCCAAAGGCCCGGCUUCAGCUGCAUCAUGUACAUAGUUCGUAGGGCAUCUUUUGUAACUAUGACCGUCAGCGCCGCAUAGGUUGCACCGUUUUUUUGUCUUGCCUGCCUCUGACUCAUCCAUAGCAUUCUUGAUAGAUGCUGACGAUGGCCUCUACCUUUCUUAGUAGCUGGGUCAGGCUCAUACAGUUUAGGAUUAUUCUCCUGAGUGAACGGUUCCAGUAUUCCGAUCGACCCCAUGUAUCUCCUGCCACCAAGUUCUUAAGGCUGUUUCCUUUGAGAAGUAUGGUGAAACAAAUGCCCUUGCCUGUAGACCACACUAUCCGCAUGCAGCAAUCACAUGCGAGCAUGGUAGAUGCAGCAGGUUUGGCUUCAUACAUGAGCAACGAACUAUACCAUCCGGCCAAAAAAAGAAUUCCUGCACCACCCUUUCCCUGUGUACACCCCGACCGAUUCUAUCCUUACAUGCAACCUCAAAUCUUUGUUCAUGUGUACCCAUAGGUUGCACACGAUGCAGUUGGGCCUUCUUCAUCUUAUCCUCCGUGUAUGCCAUCACCCUAGUGCAGAACUCAAUCUGUAGGUUACUCAUGUUGAGACUUGCAGCCAUAUAACGCUCCCUAAAGUACUUCACACAACCAUACAUAAUGAACUCCACAAUUCCCACUAGAGGAAACCCCCACGAACGGAACGCAUGACCAUAUUGUGACACUGCAUGGUUGGUUGUCUGAAUGUUGUACCGGCUGCCGUUUUUAUCAUAUAGAAGUGACCAUUAUUUCUCCUUUGGUGCAUCUCGAAUCCAGUGUGAAAAUGGCCUCUUCUGGCCACCCCCUAUUUGACCCAGAGGCCCUAGCCUCUUCUGCCUGCCCCUUAUUUGACCAAAAGAGGCCCUAGUCUGUGCCUGCUCAGCAGUCAUCCUAUCAAGCAUCUGCUAGAGUGCAUUGAACUUUCGUUGCUGGUUCUGAGUGCACAACCUCUUAAACAUUUUGCACAACCUCUUAUCAAGCAUCUGCCAGAGUGCAUUGAACUUUCGUUGUUUUGGACGUCUGGCCAAAUAGGAUGAGCUAUGCUAUUUUCUUCAUGUAGUUUCUUUAUUGCCGCAAGCAGGCUAGAAUUCCUGUCACUUAUCAGACAUAUAUUAGGCCGUGCAGCAACCACAUGAAUUUUUACUCGUUCCAGGAACUAGUACCAACUGUCUGUGUUCUCAUUCUCCACAAAAGCAAAUGCAAUCGGGACAACUUGGUUAUUGCAAUCUUCUCCAAAUUGCCGAUAGUAUCUGUCCUUUAUAUCUUCCUGUUAGGAAUGUGCCAUCGAUGCAUAGUACAGGGGAGACAAUAUUGAAAUGUCCUGACACAUGCACCAAGACAGAAGAAGGCUCACUAAAAAAAUGCUUGGUGCUCCAUGCAAUCUUGGUACCAGGAAGAUAUCAUACGCGCUUCUCGGAUUCCUCUGCACAACAUGAGACAACAUACGGGGCAGAUUAUCAUAUGAAGCCUCGUAGGUGCCAAAUCUCAGCUCGAACACCUUUUUGUUUUGCUCUCCAUGCCUUUAUGUAGCUGAUAGUAUACAGAUAAUUCUACUCUAUGUAACUGACUAUCAAUUUUGGCUCAUAAUCCAGCCUGUCGAGAAUCAAACCAAUGAGUUUUCCAUCUACCCUUGUAGGCAUGUACUCUCCAUGGGCACCCAUCCUUCAAACACUUCACCUCGUAUUCCUUGCUGCCAGAUUUAACUGUUGAGUUUGUGAUCCAAAUUCUGAAGAAGGCGGCCAAGUUGGCGAGCGAAGCGGAGGCCCGUCGCCGGGAGGCUUGGGCCGGAGCGCAGCGAGGCCAACUGGCCUUCCCACGGCCCAGGGACGCCUGGGGGGUGCGGGGGGCGGAGCCCCCCGCGGUACGGAUCGUUUUAGGGUUUCACCUCUAUAAAUAUCUUUGUAAGCCGCAGGAGAUAUCUAUCUCUAUUGUAAAUCUCCUGCGAUCUGUAACCACCCAAAAAAUAGUGAGAAGUUGCCGGCCGGCGCCCGUGGUUUUUUCCCCUUCACUUUGGAGGGGUUUUCCACGUUAAAUCCGUGUCUACUCUGUGAUUGAUCCUAUUUGUGUCGCAUUUAUUUAUAACAAGUGGUAUCAAAGCUUUGGUUGUUUGGUGAUCGGUGUGCUAGGGUUUCCUGCCGGCGCACGGAUGUCGACGACAAUGAAGUACGAUCUUCCGCUGCUGGAUCUCGACACGCGUUUCUCGCUGUGGCAGGUGAAGAUGCGGGCAAUUCUCUCGCAAUCUGAUCGCGACCUGGAUGAUGCCCUAGAUGGAUUUGGCAACAAGGAUGCCAGGACGUGGACAGAUGAGGAGAGGCGCAAGGAUCGUAAGGCGCUCGCACAUAUUCACCUUCAUCUGUCUAACAAUAUUCUGCAGGAGGUUCUGGCAGAGAAGACUGCCGCUGCUCUCUGGUUGAAGCUGGAGUCGAUCUGUAUGUCAAAGGAUCUGACCAGCAAGAUGCAUGUCAAAAUGAAGUUGUUCUCCCACAAGUUGCAGGAAGGAGGAUCCGUUCUGACGCACAUAUCGGUGUUUAAGGAGAUCGUGGCCGAUCUGACGUCUAUGGAGGUAAAGUUUGAUGAUGAAGACCUAGCUCUUCUUCUCCUGUGUUCCCUCCCUGCAUCGUUUAGCAAUUUUCGAGAUACCAUCCUAUACAGUCGUGAUACUCUAACCGUGGCUGAAGUGUAUGAAGCUUUGACUGCGAAAGAAAAAAUGAGACAGAUGGUUAACUCGGAAGAUGCUGCUGGCUCGAGUGGAGAAGCUUUGUAUGUCCGUGGCCGCACUGAUCAGAAAAAGUCCAACUCAGGUGGCAAAGGAAAGGGGAAGAACCAGAGGGGUCGCUCCAAGUCAAGGGGGCCAUCCGAUGAAUUAUUUUGCAAAUACUGCAAGAAGACGAACCAUGUAAUUGAGAACUGUUACAAACUGCAGAACAAGGAGAAGAGGAACAAGGAGAAGGGUAAGACUGGAGGUACUGUCUCUGUUGCAUCCGAAAAUAAUUCUGAUAAUGGUGAUGUUCUUAUUGCCUUUGCUGGUUGUGCUGCUGAUGAUGCCCAAUGGAUCCUCGAUUCUGCUUGCUCAUAUCAUGUUUGCACUAAAAAAUCUCUGUUUAGUACCUAUGAAGCUGUGCAGAACGGAGGUACUCUUCGGAUGGGUGAUAAUUCCCCUUGCACUGUUGUUGGCAUGGGCACCGUGCAGAUCAAGAUGUUCGAUGGGAUUGUACGCACAUUGACUGAAGUACGACAUGUUCCAUCCAUGUCCAGGAACCUCAUCUCUCUGAGUACUCUGGACACAAAGGGCUACAAGUAUACCGCCGGUGACGGUGUCAUGAAGGUAACAAAAGGCUCUCUUGUGGUUAUUAAAGGUGAUUUGAAAGCUGAAAACUUAUAUGUGCUUCGAGGUAGUUCUGGCUCUGCUAAUGCUGUUGUUGCAUCUGAUUCUGAGACUACUAAAAUUUGGCAUAUGCGCCUUGGCCAUAUGAGUGCACCUGGUUUGGCAGAAUUGAGCAAGAGAGGCCUUCUUGAUGGCUGCCAUGCUGAUACUCUUGAUUUCUGUGAGCACUGUGUUUUCGGUAAGCAUAAAAGGGUAAAAUUCAGUUCUGCUGUUCAUAAUACCGAAAAUAUUCUUGAUUAUGUUCAUGCUGAUUUGUGGGGGCCGUCACGUAUACCUUCACAUGGUGGUGCUCGUUACAUGUUGACUAUCAUUGAUGAUAAUUCACGCAGAGUUUGGCCUUAUUUUCUUAAGCAAAAAUCAGAUGCCUUUGAGUCUUUCAAGGUUUGGAAGACUAUGGUUGAGAAGCAGACUGAGAGGAAGCUGAAGGUUCUGAGAACUGACAAUGGUAUGGAGUUUUGUUCUGGUGAUUUUAACUCUUUCUGCAGGAAGGAGGGCAUUGUGAGGCACCACACUAUACCAUAUACACCUCAGCAGAACGGUGUGGCAGAGCGUAUGAAUAGAACAAUAAUCUCCAAGGCUCGGUGUAUGCUGUCCAACUCAGGUUUGAGCCACAAGUUUUGGGCUGAGGCCGCUUCCACUGCUUGUCAUUUGAUCAAUUGUUCACCAUCCACUGCUAUCGAUAAGAAAACUCCAAUUGAGGUUUGGUCUGGUUCCCCCUAUGAUUAUUCUCAGUUGAGAGUGUUUGGUUGUACUGCAUAUGCACAUGUUGAUAAUGGUAAACUUGAGCCUAGAGCAAUUAAGUGUGUUUUCUUGGGUUAUGGAUCUGGUGUUAAAGCAUAUAAAUUGUGGAAUCCUGAUACACAGAAGGCAUUUUUUAGUAGAAACGUUGUGUUCAAUGAAUCUGCCAUGUUUCCUUCGGUUGUAUCUACCAGUGCUACUAACCAGAAUUCUGAGUCUAUCAGUGUGCAGGUGGAGCACGGAGGGGAUGUUGAUGAUCAUGCUCCACCAUCUGCUGAACCUGCUGAAAAUUAUGUUUCUGAAAUUUCAUCACCUGUUGUGGAGUCUCAUCCCCAGUCUCUUGCUGAAGGCCGAACUAGGAGGCAGAUAGUUCGGCCCCAAAGACUGAUUCAAGAGUGCAAUGUUGCUUUUGCUUUAGCUGUUGCUGAAGAAGUUGAUAAUGUUCAGGAACCAUUGAAUUAUUCAGAAGCUAUAUUGUGUACUGAUAGUGAAAAGUGGAUGGGUGCUAUGCAUGAAGAAAUGGAGUCUCUUGAUAAGAAUGGCACUUGGGAACUAGCUCGGCUGCCUUCUGGUAAAAAGGCAAUUAAGUGCAAAUGGAUCUUCAAAAGAAAAGAAGGUAUGACUCCAAAAGAGCCUCCGCGCUUUAAAGCAAGGCUAGUUGCAAAAGGUUUUAGUCAGAUUCCAGGAAUUGAUUACUCUGAUGUCUAUUCUCCUGUUGUCAAGCAUAGUUCAAUUCGUACCUUUCUUAGUCUUGUUGCUGUACAUGACUAUGAGCUUGAACAGUUAGAUGUGAAAACUGCUUUCUUACAUGGUGAUUUGGAGGAGGACAUUUAUAUGGACCAGCCAGAGGGGUUCAUUGUUCCUGGAAAAGAAGAUUAUGUGUGCAGGUUGAAGAAGUCCUUAUAUGGUCUGAAACAAUCUCCCAGACAAUGGUAUAAGAGGUUUGAUUCAUUUAUGCUUUCUAAGGGCUUUCAGAGGUCUCAAUAUGAUAGUUGUGUUUAUCUAAAAUUUGUUAAUGGAUCACCUACAUAUUUGCUGCUAUAUGUUGAUGAUAUGUUGAUUGCUGCCAAGAGCAUGAAGGAAAUCACUGCUUUAAAGGCACAGCUUAGUAGCGAAUUUGAUAUGAAGGAUCUGGGUGCUGCAAAGAAAAUCCUUGGCAUAGAGAUAGUCAGGGAUAGGAAGUCUGGACUGCUGUACUUGAGCCAGAAGAAUUAUAUUGAGAAGGUCCUUCGUCGUUUCAACAUGCAAAAUACUAAACCUGUGAGUACUCCGUUGGCUCCUCAUUUUAAACUGUCUGCUAAACAGUGUGCUGAAACUGAUGCUGAGCUUGAAUAUAUGUCAAAAGUUCCAUACUCUAGUGCUGUUGGGUCACUCAUGUAUGCUAUGGUUUGUUCUCGUCCUGAUUUGUCUCAUGCUAUGAGCGUUGUUGCUAGAUACAUGUCUAAUCCUGGUAAAGAGCAUUGGAAAGCUGUUCAGUGGAUUUUCAGAUAUCUACGUGGUUCUUCUAGUGCUUGUUUAUGUUUUGGUAAAUCUGGAGAUGGUCUGAUUGGCUAUGUUGAUUCAGAUUAUGGUGGUGAUUUAGACAGGAGGAGAUCUCUUUCAGGUUAUGUCUUUACUAUUGGAGAUUGUGCUGUGAGUUGGAAAGCUCGUUUACAGGAUACUGUUGCUUUGUCUACCACAGAAGCUGAGUAUAUGGCAAUUGCAGAAGUUACUAAGGAAGCCUUAUGGUUGAAAGGUAUAUAUUCAGAGCUAUGUGGAAUUAAGUCUUGCAUUACCAUCUAUUGUGAUAGCCAGAGUGCCAUUCAUCUCACCAAAGAUCAGAUGAUUACUGAGAAAUCCAAACAUAUUGAUAUUCGUUAUCACUUCAUUCGUGAUAUCAUUGAUAAAGGGUUGGUGAAGGUAUGCAAGAUCAGUACUGAUAAUAAUCCAGCUGAUAUGAUGACGAAGCAUGUUUCUGUUGCUAAGUUUGAGCUAUGCUCAAACUUAGUUGGUAUUAUAAAUUAGCCCUUAGUGGCUGUUGGCGCCGGCAAGAUGAUGAUGCAUUUGUUUAAGGUGGAGGUUGCUAUUAUGAUGCUACAAGGAAUUUGUCUCAAGGUGGAGUUUGUUGAGUUUGUGAUCCAAAUUCUGAAGAAGGCGGCCAAGUUGGCGAGCGAAGCGGAGGCCCGUCGCCGGGAGGCUUGGGCCGGAGCGCAGCGAGGCCAACUGGCCUUCCCACGGCCCAGGGACGCCUGGGGGGUGCGGGGGGCGGAGCCCCCCGCGGUACGGAUCGUUUUAGGGUUUCACCUCUAUAAAUAUCUUUGUAAGCCGCAGGAGAUAUCUAUCUCUAUUGUAAAUCUCCUGCGAUCUGUAACCACCCAAAAAAUAGUGAGAAGUUGCCGGCCGGCGCCCGUGGUUUUUUCCCCUUCACUUUGGAGGGGUUUUCCACGUUAAAUCCGUGUCUACUCUGUGAUUGAUCCUAUUUGUGUCGCAUUUAUUUAUAACAUUAACAACCCUAGAUUCCCUCCUUAAUGACAUUGCCCAUUUCUUUACAGCAUCCUUCACGGCUUCAAUGUUUGGAUGUUUUGCUCCUUGCAUUAUCUCGUUUUCUCGACACUCCCACUCCUGGCAUCUGCCAUCUUGUAUAACAGGGUUGCGAAACCUUGUUCCCUCCACUGAGUUGGCACUAGGUAUGCCUCGUCGUCUGACGAGUCCCCACAUUCUUCCAUCUUCUGUGCCUCACGGUCUUCAGCCUCCAUUUCAUCCACAAUCCUUGUUAUCCUCUCCCCUUCAUCAGCUACACCUUGCAGUUCUAUCUCUGAAACAUGGCCCUCAGCUCUGCCAGGUUUUUCUGCCUUCAUGUAUGCAGAUGGGAUACCUUCAUCUUCAUCUUGUGCUAUUGCGCGUUGUGGCUUUUCAUGCACCUGUACACGCAUAUCAAGAGGCCACCCACAUUCUGUAGCUGCAUUGAUGUAAUGCUGUCAAUUACUAGUGGUCUCGAUGCCCAUCAAGUCCCACUUGUUAUCUUCACCCUCCCAGUUGACAACAACUUGUACACUCAGCAGCACAUGUGUCUCUGGAUUUACACCAAAGCCACGUUCGAGCGAUUUCUGAAUUGAACCAAAACUUCUCUCAAAGAGUUUAUUUAUUCCAAUAUUCCUACACUUAAACAGUGACAUGUCUAAUCUCGGAGGACCAUACGUAGCAGGGCUGGUACCAUAAUACACUUGAAACAUUAAUUUGUUCGACAUAUCUAUAAAUGAAUCAUGUGAGUCAAUUCAUUUAUCCACCUUCAUCACAACAUAUAAGCUAUGGUACUGUUUUGGCCUAUCUGUAUAUUUUUCUACCAACUAUCUAUCAAAUAAACCUAUACUUAAAACCUUAACAUAAAAGUAGCACACAGAUCUUCUGUUUACAUGCUACGGUGCAUCGUAAGGUCAACUAUACAACUAAACCAAAUCUACUAUUUAUACGAAGCAAUAUAUGCUAAAACUAAAUUAAUAUCGCCACAUCUACUAUGACCCUAAAUAAAUCUACGAAUAGCUUGUUCGCUGCGGCUUGCUGCGGCUGCAAUCCGGCUGCGGCUGCGGCUUCUACAGUAUUUUUCUCUCUAUGGAUUGCAGCUGCAGCAGUCCAAACAGCUGCAACAGUGCCGGCUUGCAGCCAGCCGAACAGGGCCUAAAUCUAUUAAACUAUUUAUACUAUCUAAUAAUUUACUUACAUAAAAAACAUUACGAAAACAAAACAUGCUUGGCAAUAUAUUACCUGCUUCCUUCAGAUCAUACUCCGACAGGGCUUCGCCGCUUUCUUUCUCCUCUCCCCCUUUCUCUUUUCUCUAGAAGUUCUGGUGGCAAAUGAGCUCUGAAGGGGCUGAUUUUAGGUUAUACAGGGGACAGGGGCCCUGUCGUUCCAGGGUCGGACGACAGGUCCCCUUAUCGCCCCAGGGUCGGGCGACCGGUGAGCGAAUGCCCAAAAUGCCCUCUGCCCAGUCCCUCUGCUGGUGGGCCUACUCCCGCCGGGCCCCUGUCGCCC